UGUUGUGUGAUGGAUUCUGUGCUUUCAAGAAUACUUAUCAGUGGUCAAGGUGAAGCAAGACUGCCGCACACCUGCCUCAGUCUUCACCCCAGCAGAAUGCUGGAGCGAGUAGAGCACAACUACUACCCUGCAGGAGGCCCCAGGGGACGACGCCCGGGCGCGGCGGCAGGUGGAGGCAGUAGGUGGUGUGGAGGUUGAACUGAGGAGUGCCGCAAAUCAGCCGCUGUGGCCACACCUUUACGGUAGUGUGUGGCUGGACCCCCGCGGAGCACUAAAUGUUAGCCUCCAGCCACUGCCGCCUCCCCACCACCGCCACGUCCACCACUGCCACCCCCACUCCGCUCUCCCACCUCUGCUAGCCCCACCCUGCUCCCCACCUCCGGCCUCCUGCUUUCAAGACCCCUACAGUGACUUACGCCGCCGCAAUCACUGCCUCUACGACCAUCAUCGCUCACUGCUUGAUAGAAAGGUAAAUAACACUUUAUUUCAGUAGACUAUGC